rnacentral:rRNA from 1 species
GACGAACGCUGGCGGCGUGCUUAACACAUGCAAGUCGAACGGAAAGGCCCUGCUUUUGUGGGGUGCUCGAGUGGCGAACGGGUGAGUAACACGUGAGUAACCUGCCCUUGACUUUGGGAUAACUUCAGGAAACUGGGGCUAAUACCGGAUAGGAGCUACUGCUGCAUGGGGGGGGUUGGAAAGUUUCGGCGGUUGGGGAUGGACUCGCGGCUUAUCCGCUUGUUGGUGGGGUAGUGGCUUACCAAGGCUUUGACGGGUAGCCGGCCUGAGAGGGUGACCGGCCACAUUGGGACUGAGAUACGGCCCAGACUCCUACGGGAGGCAGCAGUGGGGAAGAUUGCACAAUGGGCGGAAGCCUGAUGCAGCAACGCCGCGUGCGGGAUGACGGCCUUCGGGUUGUAAACCGCUUUCGCCUGUGACGAAGCGUGAGUGACGGUAAUGGGUAAAGAAGCACCGGCUAACUACGUG